rnacentral:rRNA from 1 species
AGAGUUUGAUCAUGGCUCAGAGCGAACGUUAGCGGCGCGCCUAACACAUGCAAGUCGCACGGAGUAGCAAUACUCAGUGGCGCACGGGUGCGUAACACGUAGAUAACCUGCCCUUAAGAGGGGGAUAACGUUCCGAAAGGAGCGCUAAUACCGCAUAAUGCCAGUAAUGGAGAAAGGCUGGGACCAGCAAUGGCCAGUCGCUUUUGGAGGGGUCUGCGGCCCAUCAGCUAGUUGGUAAGGUAAUGGCUUACCAAGGCAAAGACGGGUAGCUGGUCUGAGAGGAUGAUCAGCCACACUGGUACUGGAACACGGACCAGACUCCUACGGGAGGCAGCAGUGGGGAAUCUUGGUCAAUGGGCGCAAGCCUGAACCAGCGACGCCGCGUGAGUGAUGAAGGCCUUCGGGUUGUAAAGCUCUGUGGGGAGGGACGAAAGACUGAGGUCUAAUAGGCUUCAGGUUGACGGUACCUCCUUAGCAAGCACCGGCUAACUCUGUGCCAGCAGCCGCGGUAAUAC